rnacentral:rRNA from 1 species
UACGUAGGGGGCAAGCGUUAUCCGGAUUUACUGGGUGUAAAGGGAGCGUAGACGGCGAUGCAAGCCAGAUGUGAAAGCCCGGGGCUCAACCCCGGGACUGCAUUUGGAACUGUGUAGCUAGAGUAUCGGAGAGGCAGGCGGAAUUCCUAGUGUAGCGGUGAAAUGCGUAGAUAUUAGGAGGAACACCAGUGGCGAAGGCGGCCUGCUGGACGAUGACUGACGUUGAGGCUCGAAAGCGUGGGUAUCAAACAGG